GUGGGGAAUAUUGGACAAUGGGCGAAAGCCUGAUCCAGCCAUGCCGCGUGUGAAGAAGGUCUUCGGAUUGUAAAGCACUUUAAGUUGGGAGGAAGGGCAGUAAGUUAAUACCUUGCUGUUUUGACGUUACCGACAGAAUAAGCACCGGCUAACUUCGUGCCAGCAGCCGCGGUAAUACGAAGGGUGCAAGCGUUAAUCGGAAUUACUGGGCGUAAAGCGCGCGUAGGUGGUUUUGUAAGUUGGAGGUGAAAUCCCCGGGCUCAACCUGGGAACUGCCUCCAAAACUGCAUGACUAGAGUACGGUAGAGGGUAGUGGAAUUUCCUGUGUAGCGGUGAAAUGCGUAGAUAUAGGAAGGAACACCAGUGGCGAAGGCGACUACCUGGACUGAUACUGACACUGAGGUGCGAAAGCGUGGGGAGCAAACAGGAUUAGAAACCCGUGUAGUCC
rnacentral:rRNA from 1 species